rfam:Paenibacillus sp. LPB0068 PNBC_30, whole genome shotgun sequence.
UAUAUGGAGAGUUUGAUCCUGGCUCAGGACGAACGCUGGCGGCGUGCCUAAUACAUGCAAGUCGAGCGGAGUGAUUUGAAAGCUUGCUUUCAAAUCACUUAGCGGCGGACGGGUGAGUAACACGUAGGUAACCUGCCUGUAAGACUGGGAUAACUACCGGAAACGGUAGCUAAUACCGGAUAACUUGUUUCCUCUCCUGGGGAGACACUGAAAGGCGGAGUAAUCUGCCACUUACAGAUGGG